rnacentral:lncRNA from 1 species
CCACUCGCUGCCUCACAGCCUAAUCCUCUGCUCCUGUCACACCGUUCUGCUUUUUUUUUUUUUUUUUUUUUUUUUUUUUUUUUUUUUUUUUUUUUUUUUUUUUUAGCCACAGCAACGCAGGAUCCGAGCUGCGUCUGCAACCUACACCACAGCUCACGGCAACGCCGGAUCGUUAACCCACUGAGCAAGGGCAGGGACCGAACCCGCAACCUCAUGGUUCCUAGUCGGAUUCGUUAACCACUGCGCCACGACGGGAACUCCACACCGUUCUGCUUUGACCUUCCCCAAACACACAAUGCUCUUUCUGUCCUUCAGUCCUUGUUCCUGCCGUUUAGCAUGUUUGGAAUUCCUUCCCUCUAAUCAAAGCCCAUCAACUCCCGUAUCCUUAACCUGUCACUGCUCUGUCCAAACUCCCAGAACAGCAGUUCUCAAAUGUUCUGGAUUGAGGAUACUUUUACUACCUAAAAAGUAUGAGGAACACCAACGAGUUUUUGCAGAUUAUAUCUAUCAAUUUACCACCUUUACUCACAAUAUCAACGGAGAAUAUUUUAAAAUAUUUAGCAAUUGUUUCUAAAGAAUCAUUAUGUGUUACCAUAAAAAACAUAUUUUCUGAAAAAUAGCUAUCUUUAAAAUAAUGAGACUAGUGGUAAUACUUAAUAUGUUUGCAAAGCUCUUUAAUGUCUGGCCUCACUGGAAAGAAAGCAGCUAGUUUCUCACAUCUGCUUCUCCAUUCAGUCUUCUAUGAUAUGUUGUUUGGGUUGGAGCAUUUACAGAGAUCCAGGGCCAGCCUCACAGAGAUGCCACUAAGUUAAGGGAGGAGAAUUUUAAGAGCCUUUUCAGACAAUUGUGGACAUUCCUUUUUCAUACAAAACUGGAAAACUGAUAGUUUCUUAAACGUUAAUUUGCAGUGUGGAGUCCACAGCCUUAUCAGUAAACUUUUCCAACUCUGUUAUAUUAAAAUGUAUUGGUUUAUCUUGCACUUUGAAUGGAUCUUUUACCCACUCAUAAUUCAUAGCAGUGACCAUUUGGAAAAUAUUGGUUCUUAGAGUUAUGCAGAACUUCCAACUGUUGACAUAUUUCAUUAAAGAACAAUUUUAAAAAAUCGCACGCAUUCACACCACCACCAAUCUCAGCAGAAAAGCCUUCAAGUAUUUAGAAACUGUCAAGCUCAUGAUGAUUUAUACAAGUUUUCCAGAAUUCUACUUUUCACUUGAAAGCUCAACUUUUCUAAUUGGUAAACAAAAAAGUCGCUGCUUUCCUUGAAGCAAUUGGUUCAUUCUGUUCAUUUCCAAGAAAGUAUUUUGCAAAUACCCAAGUCUGAAUAUCCAUAGUUUAUCUGUCAGUCAUUGCCAUAGGCAGAAUUAAUACCCACCCCCACGCCAAAGGGACAGUCACUUCCCAAUCUCUGGCACCUGUGAUUAUUACCUUAUAUGAGCAAAAGGUGAAGGCUCUUGCAAAGAGAGGCUCAUCCUGAGUUGUCCAAUCAGCCCGCACGCCAGUGACAGGUCUCUUGGAAGAGAGGAGGAGAGAAGGAUCUGAGACAGAGAGGAGGAGCCAUAGAGACAGAGAGGGAAAGCAGUGGGGAGACAGAGGCAGACAGAGGAGUGUGGCUGCCAUAUGCCAAGAAACUCCAAGGCACAGGGACCAAAGCCAGAAGCCAGGAGAGGCCAGAACAGAUUUUCCUCCCGAAGAAUGUGGCCCUGCCAACUCCUUUGGACGUCUAGCCUCCAGAACUGUGAAGGGACAUGUUUCUGUCGUUUUAAGCACCAAGGCUACAGUAAUUUGUUAAGGCAGCCCUAGCGAAGUAAUACAGUCAUUCUUGCAGUUAAAACAAAAAAAAGGUGCAACCUUUACCAUUUUUACUAGAGUUUCCAUUGUAGCUCAGCAGGUUAAGGACGUUGAGUUGCCUCUGGGAGGAUGAGGGUUCCAUCCCUGGCUUGGCUCCCUGGGUUAAGGAUCCAGUGAUGCCACAAACUGUGGUGUAGGUCACAGAUGCAGCUCAGAUGUGGAGUUGCUGUGGCUGUGCUGCAGGCAGGUGGCUACAGCUCCACUUCACCCCGGCUCAGGAAUUUUCAUAUGCCGCAGGUGGAGCCGUAAAAAGACAAAAGAAACUGAAUGUCCCAUGAAGAAGGCUGCUAGUUCAGCCUGUAAUUCAAACGAUGUCACAAGUGCUUUCCCUGUAGACGGUCAUGAUACUUCAACAUGGACAAUGGUGCGUUCUGCACA